rnacentral:lncRNA from 1 species
AUUUAUUCCUCCUUAUUUCACACAGAACCGUACUCAAGCUUUCUAUUGUGAUUGUGGUUUUAUUUUACUUACCUUUCUUUAUCUCUACUCUGUGAGCUCUGAUAAAGCAGGGAUUCCGAUUUACUCAGUUUUGCUUCCUUAAAGCCUCGAUGCUAAAUGAACAUUUUAAAAAAAAUAUAAAUGAAAGAUAUUUCCAAAUAAGACAAAGUAAAGAAAGGCCAAGCAUGAUCUCACCCAAUCCUGAUGAUAAUAGCUACUGUAAGAAUUGCAAACAGAGUAAAAACAGCAAUCUUUGCAGUUGGUCAUGAAGUAAAUAUGAUGAUAUUUUUUCUUAUUUUAUAAUAUUGACAAUGAUAAUACUAUUAGUAAUUAAUAUGUGUCAGGCACUGUGCUUCACAUAUACUAUCAAUGUGG